UACGGCGGGUGCGACCGUUAAUCGGAAUCACUGGGCGUAAAGCGCGCGUAGGCGGUUUGUUAAGUGGGAUGUGAAAGCCCCGGGCUUAACCUGGGAAUUGCAUUUCAAACUGGCGAACUAGAGUGCGGUAGAGGGAGGUAGAAUUUCCUGUGUAGCGGUGAAAUGCGUAGAUAUAGGAAGGAAUACCAGUGGCGAAGGCGGCCUCCUGGAUCGACACUGACGCUAAGGCGCGAAAGCGUGGGGAGCAAACAGG
rnacentral:rRNA from 1 species